rnacentral:rRNA from 1 species
GUUAGAGAAGAAAGUGCGUGAGAGUAACUGUUCACGUUUCGACGGUAUCUAACCAGAAAGCCACGGCUAACUACGUGCCAGCAGCCGACGGUAAUACGUAGGUGGCAAGCGUUAUCCGGAUUUAUUGGGCGUAAAGGGAACGCAGGCGGUCUUUUAAGUCUGAUGUGAAAGCCUUCGGCUUAACCGGAGUAGUGCAUUGGAAACUGGAGACUUGAGUGCAGAAGAGGAGAGUGGAACUCCAUGUGUAGCGGUAGAAAUGCGUAGAUAUAUGGAAGAACACCAGUGGCGAAAGCGGCUCUCUGGUCUGUAACUGACGCUGAGGUUCGAAAGCGUGGGUAGCAAACAGGAUUAGACUACCCUGGUAG